AGACUGCUGAUGCUGCGCCGCUGCUGUCAAUCUUCUCCGACUCAGAUCCUUGAACGCAUCAAGCCGCUGCCACUUUAGAUUGCUACUUGUCUACUAACGGAAUAUCCUCAUCGUUUGAACAAUACAUCGCCAUGAACUUUGUUCAGGUUUUCCUAAUUAUUAUGGUUGUGAUGCUGGCGCUGGUGAGUGCAGCUCCCCAGCUCGUCACCACCAAGAGGAGGUUCCCUGGAGAGCGUCGGCUGGGGGCCACCAACUACGGUCUAUAUUCUUACGGCAAACGCGGAUUCAAAAAGAGUGCGGGCUAUGAUGGAUGAAACAGUGUCGAGGUCUGACCUGACAUGCCACAUGCAAGGCCUCAGCUGCCACAACUUCGCUGUGUGGUCGCAAAGCUACAUAAUUGAUGUGCAAAGUUCAGAGAAACCCUUUGUUAUUAAACACUUUAAUGUAAAGUUAUCUUUUACGGUAAGUUGUAAAAUGGAUGUGUAAAGUUCAGAAAAACCAUUUAUUAUUAAACAUUUCAAUGUGAAGUUAUCUUUUACGAUAAGCGGUAAAAUGGAUGUGUAAAGUUCAGAGAAACCCUUUGUUAUUAAACAUUUCUAUUGUAAAGUUAUCUUUUACGUUAAGCGGUAAAAUUGAUGUGUAAAGUUCAGAGAAACCCUUUGUUAUUAAACAUUUUAAUGUAAAGUUAUCUUUUACGGUAAGCGGUAAAUUGGAUAUGUAAAGUUCAGAAAAACCCUUUUUUAUUAAACAUUUUAAAUGUAAAGUUAUCUUUUACGAUAAGUGGUAAAAUGGAUGUGUAAAGUUGAGAGAAGAUCCUUUAUUAUUCUACAUUUAUAAUGUAAAGUUAUUUUUUACGAUAAGUGGUUUGCUUUGUUCGUGGUGAAUCAAGCUCAAUUCCAAUUGCAGUUUAUACUAUUUAAGUUCUGGUGAUCAUUUCGAGUAUUUGUAUAAAGAAUCCUAUGCAUAAGAAGUGUUAAGUUCUAUGCUUUUAGAUCCUCAAAAUCUAAUGUCUUCUUUUACUUCGAAUAUUCAAAUCAAAUCUAGAACUACACGACAGCAUCAAAUUUACAUGACUAUACUUUAUCAAAAUAUAUUGUCGGUUAUAGCCGUAAUUUAUAAGAUAGAGAACAAAUUUGGAACAUGACUAUGACCAUUUUUCGCCACGUCAUUAAUUAUUAAGUGCAAAGGUCUAUCAGUAGCAGCUAGAUCCGAUCUUUAAUAUUGAAUACGAGGUGUUAUCAAUAUCGUCAGCAAGUCGCUAGUCAGAUCUUAGUCAGAUAAGCUCGCAACAACACGCUAUACGAAUUCAUUCUUAAGUAUUUUCGCACGACCUAGUCCAUCAGAUGAUUCGGUAUAGGAGCUUCGUAAGGUUCCUUUGCAUCGCAUUAUAUCAAAGAUGAUUAUUUUGCUAGUUUUGUUAUACAUUACAGUUCUAUUUUAUGUGAAAUAAUGUCCCUUAUAUAACAAUGCCUGGUAUUAUAAGUUAGUUGCUAUUUUUUUCCAGAAACCUCCAGAAACUCUGAUAUAAAUAAGUUUUCUGUGUCGAAUCAUCUACGAUUCUUGUAUUAACUUUAUCCAAAGAAACCCGCGGAUUUUUAUAGAAGUCUAAGAAAAUUUCUACUUUAUUAUGUGCUUAAAACCUAAAAAGUUAUGUCCUAACCUCUACUUGUAAUUGAAUUAAGAUUCUCUUGAAAAAAUCAAUUCAAAAUUUUGCUGUUACUCCAGAUACAACAUUUCAGA